rnacentral:tRNA from 2 species
GGGGGAUUAGCUCAGCUGGCUAGAGCGUUGCAUGGCAUGCAAGAGGUCAUCGGUUCGACUCCGAUAUUCUCCA